rfam:Salmo salar isolate Sally breed double haploid chromosome ssa24, whole genome shotgun sequence.
UGGCUCAGUUGGUAGAGCAUGGUGUUUGCAAUGCCAGGGUUGUAGGUUCGAUUCCCAC